rnacentral:tRNA from 1 species
GAGGGUAUAGCUCAGGUGGCAGAGUGCAUGCUUAGCAUGCACGAGGUCCUGGGUUCAAUCCCCCAGUACCACCU